UUAAAUUCCGUGAAAAGAAGAGUAUUUGUUUUAUGUACUUUCAGCGAGUAGGAGACUGGUGUAAGUCCUAUAAGUGCAAAGCAAAGAAGAGGGCCUUGGAGAAGCAGAUUCGAGUAGUAAGAAUAUAAGAGUCUGACGUUAGCUGCGUUAAAGUGUUAAGUGGAUUGCGUUGUUAUGGCAGUCAAUUGGAGUGGUACCACGGAAUAUUUUCGUCUCUUAU
rnacentral:ncRNA from 1 species